UAAUUUACAGGAAGCAGUACGCCAUCUUCACAACUCUGAGACAAAUUGUAGGCGCUACGAACCGGAGCAAGGACUAAUCUCACCUCAUAACGAGGCUGUGACCUCCUAUUUGCUCGGAGCAAGUCCAGAUUUACAUGAUGCUGACAACGACGCCAUUGUGUCUGCCUGUAAGACGAGACAGUACGCAAACUGUGAAG